AACGGCCUGCCGUGUUAGUCAGCUUCUACUUGUUUCGAACCUUGAGUUUUUAACGGGAGUUCUACAUUGAGUGUUUGCCAGCAUGCCAACAACUUGUUUUGGACGCUGAAUAAGACUUUGCGGACACCCACCUACGUAAAGUAGGUUCAGAAACAAUUGGAGCAACGGCAUACGCGGGUUACAC
rnacentral:other from 1 species